rnacentral:tRNA from 1 species
GCGGCGUUAGCUCAGUUGGAUAGAGUGAUUGGCUACGAACCAAUAGGCCAGGGGUUCGAGUCCCUUACGCCGCGCCA